rnacentral:rRNA from 1 species
CAUUGCUAUUGGGGUCCGAUUUAGCCAUGCUAGUUGUACGAGCUUAGACUCGUUGCGGAAAGCUCAGUAACACGUGGACAAACUACCCUACGGAGAGCCAUAACCUCGGGAAACUGAGGCUAAUAGUUCAUAGGAGAGUCGCGCUGGAAAUGCCGACUCUCCCAAACGCUCCGGCGCCGUAGGAUGUGUCUGCGGCCGAUUAGGUAGACGGUGGGGUAACGGCCCACCGUGCCGAUAAUCGGUACGGGUUGUGAGAGCAAGAGCCCGGAGACGGAAUCUGAGACAAGAUUCCGGGCCCUACGGGGCGCAGCAGGCGCGAAACCUUUACACUGCACGCAAGUGCGAUAAGGGGACCCCAAGUGCGAGGGCAUAUAGUCCUCGCUUUUCACGACUGUAAGGCGGUCGUGGAAUAAGAGCUGGGCAAGACCGGUGCCAGCCGCCGCGGUAAUACCGGCAGCUCAAGUGAUGACCGAUAUUAUUGGGCCUAAAGCGUCCGUAGCCGGCCACGAAGGUUCAUCGGGAAACCGCCAGCUCAACUGGGCGGGGGGGCCGGUGAAAACCACGUGGCUUGGGACCGGAAGGCUCCGAGGGGUACGUUCGGGGGGUAGGAGUGAAAUCCUGUAAUCCUGGACGGACCACCGAUGGCGAAAGCACCUCGAAGAGAACGAUCCCGACGGGGAGGGACGAAAGCUAGGGUUGCUCGCUAGGUGUGGCACCAGCUUACGAGCCCUGUGGCUGUCCCGUAGGGAAGCCCGAGAAGCCGAACCGCCUGGGAAAGUACGUCCGCAAGGGGAGAAACUUAAAAGAAAUUUGCGGGGGAGCACUACAACCGGGAAGAAAGCUGCGGUUAAAUUGGACUCAACGCCCGACCAUCUCACCAAGCUCCGACUACAGUGAUGACGAUCAGGUUGAUGACCUAUCACGACGCCGUAGAGAGGAGGUGCAUGGCCGCCGUCAGCUCGUACCGUGAGGCGUCCUGUUAAGUCAGGCAACGAGCGAGACCCGCACUUCUAAUUGCCAGCAGCAGUUUCGACUGGCUGGGUACAUUAGAAGGACUGCCGCUGCUAAAGCGGAGGAAGGAACGGGCAACGGUAGGUCAGUAUGCCCCGAAUGAGCUGGGCUACACGCGGGCUACAAUGGUCGAGACAAUGGGUUGCUAUCUCGAAAGAGAACGCUAAUCUCCUAAACUCGAUCGUAGUUCGGAUUGAGGGCUGAAACUCGCCCUCAUGAAGCUGGAUUCGGUAGUAAUCGCAUUUCAAUAGAGUGCGGUGAAUACGUCCCUGCUCCUUGCACACACCGCCCGUCAAAGCACCCGAGUGAGGUCCGGAUGAGGCCACCACACGGUGGUCGAAUCUGGGCUUCGCAAGGGGGCGUAACUCGUAGCAAGGUAGC